rnacentral:rRNA from 14 species
AUACAUUAGCAUGGAAUAAUAGAAUAGGACGAGCGUUCCCAUUUUGUUGGUUUCUGAGAUCGCCGUAAUGAUUAAUAGGGAUAGUUGGGGGCAUUUGUAUUCCGUCGUCAGAGGUGAAAUUCUUGGAUUGCCGGAAGACAAACUAUUGCGAAAGCAUUUGCCAAGGAUGUUUUCAUUGAUCAAGAACGAAGGAAGGGGGAUCGAAAACGAUCAGAUACCGUUGUAGUCUCUUCUGUAAACUAUGCCAAUUGGGGAUUAGCUUAGGAUUUUUAAUGACUAAGUUAGCACCGAAGAGAAAUCUUUAAAUGAGGUUCGGGGGGGAGUAUGGUCGCAAGGCUGAAACU